rnacentral:rRNA from 1 species
GAUGAACGCUGGCGGCGUGCCUAAUACAUGCAAGUCGAGCGAACGGACGAGAAGCUUGCUUCUCUGAUGUUAGCGGCGGACGGGUGAGUAACACGUGGAUAACCUACCUAUAAGACUGGGAUAACUUCGGAAAACCGGAGCUAAUACCGGAUAAUAUUUUGAACCGCAUGGUUCAAAAGUGAAAGACGGUCUUGCUGUCACUUAUAGAUGGAUCCGCGCUGCAUUAGCUAGUUGGUAAGGUAACGGCUUACCAAGGCAACGAUGCAUAGCCGACCUGAGAGGGUGAUCGGCCACACUGGAACUGAGACACGGUCCAGACUCCUACGGGAGGCAGCAGUAGGGAAUCUUCCGCAAUGGGCGAAAGCCUGACGGAGCAACGCCGCGUGAGUGAUGAAGGUCUUCGGAUCGUAAAACUCUGUUAUUAGGGAAGAACAUAUGUGUAAGUAACUGUGCACAGCUUGACGGUACCUAAUCAGAAAGCCACGGCUAACUACGUG